rnacentral:rRNA from 1 species
GCAACGAGCGCAACCCUCGUCCUAUGUUGCCAGCGGGUCAUGCCGGGGACUCAUGGGAGACUGCCGGGGUCAACUCGGAGGAAGGUGGGAUGACGUCAAAUCAUCAUGCCCCUUAUGUCUUGGGCUUCACGCAUGCUACAAUGGCCGGUACAAAGGGCUGCGAUACCGCGAGGUGGAGCGAAUCCCAGAAAGCCGGUCUCAGUUCGGAUUGGGGUCUGCAACUCGACCCCAUGAAGUCGGAGUCGCUAGUAAUCGCAGAUCAGCAUGCUGCGGUGAAUACGUUCCCGGGCCUU